CCUAGUUUUUUUCUUAUCCGUUCUACUGUGUCACAAAUACGGACAUGUAUUACUCGUCCAGCCACCGUCCGGUCUGUUUCAAGUCCGGACUGAUGGAGCUCCUACGAAUUUCUAGGGGUUCUUGAUGAGAAAUUUGAGAGUUUCUUGAUGCAAUUAAACUUGGGGGUCUCUUGAUGUUAUUUUAAUUUAAACCAUUUUCAAUUCAUGGCUAGGUGUUUCAGAUCCUGCAGAUCUUUGGAUUUUGUCGAGAUUACUCACAUGCAUGUGAGCGGAUCUUCGGAUCCUUGUCGUAAAUUGGACUGGACGAGUGAAAAGCACCAUGCUGUGUUGUUGGAUCUGUGUUGUUCUUCAGUGUUUUCCGACGAAGAUUCCGGCGGUGGUUCAACUUCAGCAUGUCCCAAUCUCAGCUCAAGGUCCACAUCCUCUUCCGCCGUGUCAUGAUGGUCGAAAAGUAACAAAUCACUACAAGAAAUAACCACUUUUAGCGGCGACACCAUUAGCGGCGACAGGCCAAAUGUCGCCGCUAUUGGUCGAUCCGCAUCCCGGAGUCUGAAACCAAACCCCAGCCGUUGAUCCUUAUCCUGAUCUAACGGUUGGGGAUUUAAAGGGCAUUAGCGGCGACAAGACAAUAGGCAUUAGCGGCGACAGUUGUCUCCGCUAAAAGUCAAUCCGUGUGAAGCUUGAAAAGAGCUGAUCUCUGCCCUUGAUGAGAGUAUGAUCCAACGGUUUGGGUUCCUUCCUGCUUUCUCUUCCUUCAACAAAAACACUCACCCACAAACACAAACACAAACACAAACACAAUCACCAACUCCAUCAUCUUCACAACAACAACAACCUGUUACCACCACCACCGGAUCACCACCACCGUGAAGCAACCACCGCCAUCUUCACAACCAGAGCAUCGCCGGACCAUUACCGGAGCAUCGUCGGAGCACCUGCAUCUUCACCGGAGAAUCACCUGCAUCGCCACCGUCAACCACCACCGUAAAUGACCGUCUUCUUCGUCACCGGAGCACCUUCUCCGUCAAGCUCCGACUUGUUUUUUAGUUUUAUGUAGAAAAUGUGUAAUGUAAUUUUAUGUAAAAGGAUUUGUUUGAGUUUAUGGAUGUAUAUAUAAGAUUUGAAUGAUAACACGGCGAGGAAUUUGUGUUUAUGCUUUGUUUGAGUUUAUGAUACAUGAGAUUUGAAUGAAAAA